AGUCGACUGUGCUCCUCUAUGGAUUUCACUCCAGGGAGCUGUGGAAGAGCUGGCCUUUCUCAUGGAGCAACCUGCAGGAAGACAUAAGAAAGACUAACAGAACUCUGAGGAAUUUGAAUUAAAGGCUACACAGGAGUCAUGACUGGAAUCAACUUUUCAGUAAAGACAAGCUGUCAGAAUAAAAGGUGCUAUCUAAAUGUAAAUCAGGAUUUCUCAGAGGAGGAAUCUCUUGAAGGUGCUGCAGCUCCAAAUAAAUCCUUCCCUGGCUUCUCCUAGCCUCUCUCCAAGG